GACGAACGCUGGCGGCGUGCUUAACACAUGCAAGUCGAACGAAGUGGCGAACGGGUGAGUAACGCGUAAUCAACCUGCCCUUCAGAGGGGGACAACAGUUGGAAACGACUGCUAAUACCGCAUACUGAAGGAGGGGAUUGCGUCUGAUUAGCUAGUUGGAGGGGUAACGGCCUACCAAGGCGAUGAUCAGUAGCCGGUCUGGGAGGAUGAACGGCCAAAUUGGGACUGAGAAAAGGCCCAGACUCCUACGGGAGGGAGCAGGGGGGAAUCAUCCGCAAUGGACGGAAGUCUGGCGGAGCAACGCCGCGUGAGUGAUGACGGGCUUCGGGUUGUAAAGCUAUGUUAAUCGGGACGCGGUACCGGAAUAGAAAGCCACGGCUAACUACGUGCCAGCAGCCGCGGUAAUAC
rnacentral:rRNA from 1 species